AAACAUUACUGUUAAUGUUGCCUUGACAAAUUCAAUUUAUAUUUUGCUAGCAGUAGUAUUAUGCAUGUGGAAACUGUCAAAAUGUCAAUCAAAUUUGAUGGAUGACCGGAAGUCCCGCCCUUUCCUUUGACGUCAUUAAUGUGACCUUUCUUUGAACUUGCUCCCACACCCCUUCCUGUUUUUUCCUCAGGAAACGCCAAAGAUCCGAUUGCCGGAUGUCUGGUCCUUUCUUGAACCCGCUCCCACCCAUCCUGUUUUUUCCGCAGGAAACGGUUAAGAUCCGUUUGAAGGAUGUCUGUCCCUUCUUUGAAUCCGCCCCCACCCACCUGUUUGCCCCAGGCCCAGGAAACUGUCAAGAGCGGACUUGAUGGAUGGCUGCCCCCCUCUUUGACCCGGACCCCCUCUUCCGAAGACAAGUUCAGACACGUCCGGGCAAGUUUCUAUCCAGACCCAGUCGUCCCUGCCACGGCCUCCAGUCGGCAGCCCCAGACCCUGCCGGACCAAGCUACAUGUGCCCCGGCAUCAAGGCCCUGCCUAGGACCCCUCCGUCAAGCAGCCCCUGAGGCGGGGACACCACAUGUUGGUUGAAGCCUUCACUUCCAGGCACAAUUCUUCCGAGGGCAUACACAGACACACAUGCUCCUGCCUAUAUCGCUUUGGUUGACGCCUGACAGCAGACAGCCUCAGUGCUGAAAAAAGCUGGCAGGCACUCGGCUGCGAGAUGCCCCGGCGGCUGAAGCUCUAAGUGUACUCGCCAACAAGGGCUUGUAGUUCGAAAUACACGCUGACCGGAAAUCUCAGAGGAGCAGACAAAUCCCUCCAUCGCCCUGCACGGGUCUAUAGCAGGAAGUUGCAUACUGUAUGAACCGGAGCUCCGCUGACAGAUAGUGUCAGACACAGGCCGAGAAGGAUCCAGCUGCAGGUCGCAGACUUGGCCUUCCACGCCUCCUGCCUUCCACAGUCCGCCCAACAACCGGCCACAGUCCAUAGAAAGAGAUGGAGAAGAGCUGCUGUACAGUUUUUCCAAUUCGAAAAAGAAAAGGAGCUGAAAACAUUUCCCGACACGGAACAAUGGCACAGCAGAACCAGUCACAUUUCUCCAUAAAGGCAGAGAAUAUAAAAACAACUUUGAUUACAUUGAAUAAAUCCAAGUGCCCUCUUUGUAAAAAGCAAGGAGACCAUAGCAUCCUGCUGCCUGCCUUCAGAAUCAUGAAGUCCACAUUGUCAAGUAUGCAGGUUUUACUAUUUACAGAUGUGACACAAGGUGUGUAACAAGUUGGCAAUUCCAUUGUGUUUGUUUAAAUGUCAUUGUCAACAGUUUAUUGUAUGUUAGUAUUUAAUCUUUUUCUUUGACUAUUUUUUUUACCCCUUAUAUUAGGGCUUCCCUAGUGUUUGCUUGGUUUGUGUAUGUGUGUGCCCUGCGGUGGGCUGGUGCCCUGCCUUGAGCCCUGUGUUGGCUGACCCUGUAGGUAGGAUAUAGUGGGUUGGAUAAUGGAUAGAUGGAUGGAUGUAUUAGGGCCUUCUAAGUCAGAUGAAUGGUCAUUACUUGGAAAUUUCCAUGUUGAUGGUAUGACCAUUUCAUAUUAUAAUUAUCUUUUUUUGUAUGUCUGUAUUUAAUGUUUUGUCCAGGUUUCCAAAGGACCAUUUUGUGGUGUCUCUGUAUCUCAUCCUCGAGGCCCCCUUCAAUUUUAAUGAGCAUACUGUCCAUAGUGGUUUUGAAGUUCCAGAAACGCCUACCUUUCAAAAUCCAGAUAUUUUAAAUGUAUGUUAAUAAUGGUUUGCAUAAAUAUCUUUGUAACAUUAAACUCCUUUUAACAACGUGACUCUGCUCAGUUCUCUUUAGAAUGACAUACCGGCUUUGAGGACGUGCUGCUGUAGAAUGUUACUUUAGAACUCCAGCAUCAAGGGGUUUAGACUCUAUUGAGCCAUUAAGAGAAGACAGAGUAAAGACUUGGCACUACAUCUGAAAUGAAAAAAAAAUGUCUUGCUAUUCUGUUCCAUAGCACUGCGUUUUGAAGGUUUCAGAUCUUUUCUUUUAGAAGAAACAUCAGCCUCCCUUCUCCAACAUCCAGCACAGGGCACCGAUGAGCAGCAACACAGAAUCCUUCAGCAUCUUACCGAGGCAGAGAAGUGAUGUGCUGAGAACAUUUCUGUGUUCAAGGGGCACGUCUCACUCCCUCAUUACUGUCAAUGAACAAAGACAACAUUGAGGAGGCCCUUCAGAAAUCUGAUUUGCUAUCUGAAUUUCCAGAAGAAGAGGAGAGGGAAUAUGUCCUUAGACCCUUCAUCAUCCUUUAUUUCACAUAUGGAAGAC